rnacentral:rRNA from 1 species
AACGAACGCUGGCGGCAUGCCUAACACAUGCAAGUCGAACGAACCCUUCGGGGUUAGUGGCGCACGGGUGCGUAACGCGUGGGGAUCUGCCCUUUGCUUCGGAAUAACAGUUAGAAAUGACUGCUAAUACCGGAUGAUGUCGCAAGACCAAAGAUUUAUCGGCAAAGGAUGAACCCGCGUAGGAUUAGCUAGUUGGUGGGGUAAAGGCCUACCAAGGCGACGAUCCUUAGCUGGUCUGAGAGGAUGAUCAGCCACACUGGGACUGAGACACGGCCCAGCUCCUACGGGAGGCAGCAGUGGGGAAUAUUGGACAAUGGGCGAAAGCCUGAUCCAGCAAUGCCGCGUGAGUGAUGAAGGCCUUCGGGUUGUAAAGCUCUUUUACCAGGGAUGAUAAUGACAGUACCUGGAGAAUAAGCUCCGGCUAACUCCGUGCCAGCCGCCGCAGUAAUAC